AUACAUAAAUAAAGUUAUUUCAGGAUUUGGGCCAAGCCCAUGCCAGCAUAUUGAAUGGUGAUCCAAACAUAAUAUUGGGUCAUCAUACUGGACAGCAGCAAGUGGCGGUCUCCGCAGCUGGAGCCCAGCAGAUUCCGGUCUCUCAAAUUAUUGCCACCCAAACUGGACAAACACAUGAAGCUUUAGUAGCACACAACCCACAGCAAGACCUUUCGGCGCAACAGGGCACCAGUGGCACCACACAGGUCACAGUGAACACCAACCCGCCCACGCACCAGCAGGUACCCAACAAUCGGGUCGAAUUUGUACAACACCAUAACAUUGAUAUGGGUCACCAUUCUCAGCAGCAUUUAAUGCAGCAACAGUUGAUGACUGCGCGCCCUGAACACGCCAACCAACAGCAGGUCAGCGAG